rnacentral:pre_miRNA from 1 species
UGUUGCAUGGUGCCUUGUUCUGAGAGUAACUGAAUGAGAACAAGGUGCCAUGCAAAGGA